CUAGCCAUAUCUCAGUGGCAAAGCACCUGCUUUGAAUGCAGAAGGUCCUAAGUUCAAUCCCCAGGUAGGGCUGGG